rnacentral:snRNA from 1 species
AUUGCCAUCGUGCCCUAAACCCUUAAUCCUAAACCUAAAUCAGAUUAGCAUGGCCCCUGCGCAAGGAUGACACGCACAAAUCGAGAAGUGUACCAAACAAAA